rnacentral:lncRNA from 1 species
AUGUCCUUUAGCAAAGAAAAAACAAACCAGACAAUAUUUUUUUCUUUUACGUUUCAAAUUACGGAGUCCACCCCAACCUAUGCAGAUGUGAUCCGACAAGGUUUUAAUCAUAUUCACCAUCUGGACAAUGCCUUCAAAACAGUGCACCAGAGACACUGCAGAGAAAUGAAGGAUUUUGACCAGCACCAGUGGAAGGAGAAGCAAGAAUUCCUCAGAAAAGAGAAGCAAUUGCUGUCAGAGAAAAGAGAGAUGAAGAAGCUGAACCAAUUGUUGACCCCUCGCCUGGAUGUACUCUUCAGUUCUGACAAGACUUCAAGUCUGUCACAGAAGUGUCUUCAUCCAGAAACAGCCAUAAGUCAAACAGCACCCUGAGCAACCCAGAAUUCAUGAUUCCCCCCAACAUAAAUUGACAUAAAUGUCCAUUCAGACCUUCAUAUGCAUCUUAACGGUAUAUUUUGGUCAGCCUAUCCCAAAGCUUUCUCCACCAAUUAGGAACAGACAAACCUGAAAAAAAUGUGAAGAUUCAGUUCACAGAAGUAUUCUGAGUUUAAAAGUUUGACUGAUUUCUAACCUCAUUGAUCUGUAAAACUGGGCUGGAAAAAUCUCUCAACAUUGCAAGAAUGGAAGUAAUAUAUGAGAAUGAAAAGUCACCUGAAUAUUUUUUUAAAUAGUUUCAUAGUUUGGUUCUUUGGCAAAGAUUUGAGUUGUUCUGUGUUUUAUCUGAACUGGCUUGGUCCCAAGCUGAAAGGCAGUGUAGUUCAGACUCAGUGCAUCCCCUUGCCAACGAUAUGUAGUAGUGGAACUGUGCUGGCCAGCUGCAGACCCUCCCAGACAGGAGGAAAGUUGCGGGAGGUUCUCUGUGCUGGUGAAACCUGCAAUGAAUCCAGCCCUGUGUCUCAGUUUUCCAUUGUAUAAAAUAGGAAUAUUUUAUCUACCACACAUGGGUGGUGUGAAGCUUAGUUAAGGAUAGUAUAGCACUUUUAAGAUGUAAAGUUUAAGUUCUGUGUAUCAACAUUAUCAUUUUAGCAGCACUUUGGGAUGAGUGGUAGCCUUUCCAGCUUGGUUCACUCAUCUGCCUCCUGGAAGAGCCUGUCUAUAAACAGGCAAACAGGCCAAGUUUUUUUAAAAUAGGAGUCUAAAGCUAGGCCUUGUCUACACAGAAAAAUACCAGUUUUACUGGUAUAAUUUAGCUAUUCCAAAAUACAGUAAUUCCCCCACAUGGACACACUAUUCCAGAAUAAAAGUGAGCUAUGUGAGCA